rnacentral:rRNA from 1 species
GACGAACGCUGGCGGCGUGCUUAACACAUGCAAGUCGAACGGAAAGGCCCUGCUUUUGUGGGGUGCUCGAGUGGCGAACGGGUGAGUAACACGUGAGUAACCUGCCCUUGACUUUGGGAUAACUUCAGGAAACUGGGGCUAAUACCGGAUAGGAGCUCCUGCUGCAUGGUGGGGGUUGGAAAGUUUCGGCGGGUGGGGAUGGACUCGCGGCUUAUCAGCUUGUUGGUGGGGUAGUGGCUUACCAAGGCUUUGACGGGUAGCCGGCCUGAGAGGGUGACAGGCCACAUUGGGACUGAGAUACGGCCCAGACUCCUACGGGAGGCAGCAGUGGGGAAUAUUGCACAAUGGGCGGAAGCCUGAUGCAGCAACGCCGCGUGCGGGAUGACGGCCUUCGGGUUGUAAACCGCUUUCGCCUGUGACGAAGCGUGAGUGACGGUAAUGGGUAAAGAAGCACCGGCUAACUACGUG